AAAGCUUCCACCUCCCUACCCACUCACAUUUUUUAUCCCUCGGAGAAGAAAACAACAAAAAUGGAGGGGCCACGUGAUAUCUUCUUGACCAUCAUUUACACAUCACCUACACAAUAUACAUAUAAUCCAUACACACCCAGAAUAGAAGGGGGAUUCUUUUUUUUCAUUAUAUACAAUGCACACAGGGAUUCCAUUUUGGAUUCAUCCAUGGAGAACGCACAAAAUUCAUACACUAGAACAUCCACGGGAAGAUAAUCACACCCAUUAUCAUCAUUCUUUAACUCCCGAAAAGAACCAUUUUUUUCCUUCCUGGGUCUGGCUUCAAAAAUGCCAUUUUUGAGAGUAGAUUAUCCUCUCCUUUUCUUCUCCAUCGCAAACCCAUCAUUACUCCCACAAGGACCACACACCUCACAGCAUCUCACAGACACACACAUAGAGAAAAGAGAAUAGAUCGAUAAGAGAGAGAGUAGCAGAGAGAGAACGAGAAAGAGAAAAAUACCAUUUCUUUUCUUCUGUUCUUCAUUUUUUUUCGCAAGAUACAGUGGGGUAAGGGAUAGAUCAAGUAGAGAGGGUGAAAAAUCAAGAGAGAGAGUGAAGAUUUCAAGUCGUUGGUCACUGUUCCGGCGACUUAGAUCGUCGGAAUUAGUUUUUCAUUCCUCGUUCGAUCGUUUCUCUUUGGAUUUCGGUGAAAUCUCACUGAAAUCGACGUCAAGCUUAUCGUUUCGGCCUGAUCCAUCCUAAAAUUCCCUAGAUCCUCUCGGUCUUCUUGUUUUCUGGAUGAAAUCUAGUUGGUAGCUCAUCGGGGUUCGAUUUUGUACGCGUCUUCAGUUUUCUACCGGAAAUCGGGUUUGGAUUCUGGUGGUCGGCAUUUGAUUCUAGUUUGGAUUUUUGUUCAAGUUGUGGGUUCAUAUCGAGGCUAGUCCGAGAUGCGGUUUCGUCGGUCUGAGGUUCGACGUUGAGUUCCGUUGGACGCGGUUCUAUUCGGAAAGAUCAGUUAAUCAAUAAAGCAUUGAGUUAGUUUAAGGUGGUUGGUUUGUGGCUUCCUGGCUGGUCCUCCACAUCACACCAAAUCUACGGACGGGUUAGUUGUGUCCAACAAGGAUAUAGAGAGUGGCAUCAUGGAUGAAACAAAGAGUCAGGAAAUUGAGAGUUUAAAGGAAGAGAAUUUGAGACUGAGACAACAAAUGAUGGAAAUGUACCGAGCUUGGGACAGUGGGCUACCUCCACCUCCGUUCCCCACUUUUGUCCCUGCAAAUACCUUGAGUCUUCCACCAAAAUCACAAAGUCAGUUUCUUACUGUUGUUGAUACAUCACAGCAUCCCGUAGAAUCCAUUUCACGUCAACUGCACCCCAAUGCUUCCGCUUCUCAUUCUUUAGCUCCUCAGUAUAAGCCUACCACAUUCAUAGCACCACAUACCGUCUGUGCUUUUAUUGCUCAACCUUCUACUGAGGCGUCCACAUUGCUUAUCAAUCCAACAGUUGUGCUGCCCCAAUCUGCUAGUGAACCCAUGUUCAAGGAUCUUGAUGAUCAUUGCUAUACUCUUGAGCCUACAGUUAAGUUAAGAGGAACGCCAAUAUUUCUUACCAAGAAGCCUAGCAUACCAGAAAAAUCAGAGAAAAUGGUAGGGAAAGUGAAGAGUGUAGAAAAUGAUAUGGAAAGUUUCCUGGGAUUUGUGGGUAAAGAAGAUGUUUCAUAUAAAGAUUGGGGCAUGUCUUUAAGUAUCAGCCUUCUUCAAAGCUUUGAGAUAUCGAAAUUUGAGGAACAUGAUGGGCAGAAGGAUUCUGUGAAACAUUUGGGAUGAUAUUGCAAUCAAUCCAGGGAAACUGAAGGAAAGAAGAAGGGAAACACACCUAUUGUCGUGUCAGGGCCAAAGCAGAGUUUGAGAGGUCCAACUCACCAAUAUUGUCAGCCUCAAUCCCGAGCUUACAUAUCAAAUCCACUUACUCAUCUGCAACAAGGUACCUGUUUUCAAAAUCCAAGGAGUUCCAUUCCACUUCCUCAAUGUCCUUUGAAUAAUGCACAAUUGUUUACCCAUCCGUCUUCUUAUCCACAAUGGUAUGUAUGCACCUGUCCCUCAACAUUAUCCUCAACCCCCACAAAUUUACCAAGGAACCUCUAAAUCCACGUUUCAUCCAAGGCCAGAGUUCGCAAUGAUGAGAAAGGAAAAUGAUAAUUUUACUCCUAUUGGGGAAUCUUAUGCGUGUCUGUUCCAGAGAUUGAGACAUAGGGGCAUGAUUACUCCUCUCCUUGGGCACACUCUUAAUCGGCGUUCAAGAAAUUUUGAUCCUAAUGCAUGUUGUGCGUAUCAUUCUGAUGCUCAGGGUCAUAGUAUUGAAGAUUGUCUAGAUUUGAAAAGAGAAAUUGAAAAGAUGAUUCAAGAUGGAUCAAUUAUGGUGCAAAACCUGAAAAGUGAGGGAAGCUCUAGUCACUCUGAUAUGCCAAUCAGUGGCUAAUUUGUCAGGCUGAGCAAUUGAGAAAUCACCCAUCUCCUUACCAGGAAGGGGUCUAGUAGCUUGUUUUGUUUUAUUUUUCUGUUGUCUGAAUUAUUUCAGGUUUGUAGUUCGGGAUCUAUCUUGUUUUGUCCUUUUGUUGAUUAUGUUCAAACCCUUCUAUCUUUUGUUUCGACUAAAUGAAGUGUCUUAUUUUUCUUUGUGUUUUAAAUAUGUGUUGUUUGUUUGUUUGUUUUCUUUACAUAUACAUUUUAUGUUAACUCUAGUGAUAUGACAUGCUAGUGAAAGUUUCAGCCAGAUCUUAAAAUCCAGUUUAAGCAUGAACAUUGAAUCAGAGGGUUAAAGUUAGAAAAAGAGAGCAUAUGAGACAAUAGAUAGAGUGCUGAGACAUUUGGUGACAAGUUAAGGCAAUUAUUUUGAGAAUCACAAGAACAACUUGGUCAUCGAUCGAAAGGCAAGUCCCAAUUAGGUCAAAUAGUGGACGUGUGAUCACUAUAUCAAGAGAAGCAAGAAGAUAAGCAGCUCCACAAAAGCAUGAGUCAUUUGAUGUGAGGAAUGUACAACAAAGGUGGAGUUUACAGAAAAAGUAGUGACGCACAGACUCAAUCUUCUUGAAAAGAUGUCGAAAAUGAUCUUCAUCUCUCACUUCCAAUUGCAUGUUAUGUACUUGCAUUCUCAAGGAUUGAUACGAUGAAGGCAUUUCAUUCUGCUAUCCAAACAUUGUGUCAUCCUUUGUUUACCCCAUUUGAGCCUUAGUGUUAUUUUCUUUCAUGUCAAGAUAGAGUAAGCAAAGUUUAAAGAAUAGUGUCGAGUAAAAAGAUAAAGUAAAAAAGUUACAAAAAAGAGACAAAAAUGUUUCAAAAAAAAGUGUCAAGAAAAAUAGAGUUAGAAAAAAAGAAUCGCAAAGUGAAAAGAGCGAAUAAAAGAAAAAAAGAAAAGAAGAAAAAUCAGAUCAAAGCAAAAGGACAAGCUGCCAGAACUACGCGUGACCUGAUUCUCCUCUCUCGAGGGUGAGAUACGUAGGCUGCCCUACUAAGGGCUCGGUCUAACCAAAUAAACAAUUUAGAAUCACCCAGCCAAAAGAAACUAGGGCAUGAGUUAAUCCUCAUUGUUUGAGUCGAUUCCAAAAGUUGUAAGUCCUAACCCACUUUAAGUGUCGUUUGGGCCUCAUGCCAUCCUUUCUUUCUAACCCUAACCAAUAGACAAGUUACAACCAAAGAAAGACCUUCAGAUCAAUCUUUGGGGAUGUUAAGGCAAAGCAUGCAAGAGAUAUGAUGAUGUAUUUGGGAACUACCUGUCUUCCUCAGCACAAGGAAUUAAGAGAGAAAUAAAAGUGAGAGUCUUAUUGGUGAAAACUCUCACGGGCACCGUAAGGCGAUGGUAAGUUGAGAGAAAUAAAAAUGAGAGAGUCUUAUUGGUGAAAACCCUCACGGGCACCAUAAGACGAUGGCGAGAUGAGAGAAAAAUAAGAGAGGUUUGUUGGUGAAAACCCUUCAAGGUGCCACUAGCCGAAUGAGGUCUCCGAAUGUAAUUGGCCCAAGGAAACAACUCAGUUUCAAGACCAUUAACCCAACAACAACUGGUGGAAGGUGUGGAUGGAAAGAUCAGGCAGAUUAAUUCAACAUGCAUGGCAUAAUCAUUAGAGUUGACAGUCAUUUUUAGAUAAAUUUUUAAUUUCUUUGUUUCAAAUGGGGACAUUCAUUGUCUUUUCUUUCUUCUUUAUAUUUUUAUUUUUAUUUUUCUUGGGUCAGUUGUCCAAAUAAAAAUCACUGUCAUUUUUUUUCUUGUCUUUGAGUCAAGUUCUUAUCAAAACAAGUGAGGAAAUAUUUCAAAACUGCUACCAGCUUCUCCAAUUGCACAAAGCAAGACAAAAGUCAGCACAUAAAAGAGACAUGAUUGUUAGCCUAAAUAAGGCAUACAAAUUUUGUCAACAAACAAGUCUGGGAAUUUAUGAAAAUACUAAGAUUCAAAGGGUUUAUUUGAGGAGCAUGGCAAAGCAGAGAUACUGUGUUUGUUUCAGAGUCACUCUUAAUAAUUUGAGUUUGGGUCAAUGAUACAGUAAGUCAACAUCCUAUGUUAAUGGUUGGAAGCAAGGUUAAAUGUGAAGGGGGCAAAAGCGAUUGCCGUGAAAGCUAAGCCACAAACCAACCACCAUAUUUUUAAACUAACAAGUUUUCUUUGUAUGAAAUAGGAACACAUGCUACCUUCGAAUCAAGGAUUUCAAAGCCUAAAUAUCAAGGGCCGUAAUAUUCUCACUUCUACAAAUGCAAGAGGUAAUGUUGCUGCACAUAUUUGGUAUUCAAACUCAUGGUAAUUCAAGCGACAUUUGUAAGGAGACACAUUUUCUUGUUUUGGUAAUUCUAGCAACAUUUGUAAAGAGACGCACUUCCUUGUUUGGGUAAUUCCAGCAAUAUUUGUAAGGAAACGCACUUCCUUAUUUGGUAAAUCCAGCAACAUUUGUGAGGAAACACACUUUCUUGUUUGGUAAUUCAAGCGGUAUUUGUAAGGAGAUGCACUUCCUUGUGUGGAAAAUUCAAGCAACAUUUAUAAGGAGAUGCACUUCCUUGUUUGGUAAUUUGAUUGACAUUUGUAAGGAGACGCACUUCCUUGUUCGGGUAAUUCCAGUAACAUUUGUUAGGAGACGCACUUCCUUGUUUGGGUAAUUCCAGCAACAUUUGUAAGGGGACGCACUUCCUUGUUUGGACAAUUCAAGCAACAUUUGUAAGGAGACACACUUCUUUAUUUUGGUAAUUCAAGCGCUAUCAUAAGGAGACGCACUUUCUUGUUUUGGUAAUUCAAGCAACCUUGGAGACGCACUUCCUUGCUUGGGCAAUUCAAGCAACAUUUGUAAGGAGAUGCACUUCCUUGUUUGGUUAAUUCAAAAAAUAUUUGUGAGGAGACGCACUUCGUUGUUUGAAUAAUUCAAGCGGCAUUGGUAAGGAGACGCACUUCCUUGGUUUGGUAAUUCAAGCGGUAUUGGUAAGGAGAUGCACUUCCUUGUUUUGAUAAUUUAAGCAACAUUUGUAAGGAGACGCACUUUCUUGUUUGAUAAUUUAAGCAACAUUUGUAAGGAGACUCACUUCCUUGUUUGGUAAUUUGAUUGACAUUUGUAAGGAGACACACUUCCUUGUUUGGUAAUUCCAGCAACAUUUGUGAGGAGACGCGCUUUCUUGUUUGGGUAAUUCCAGCAACAUUUGCAAGGGGAUGCACUUCCUUGUUUGGACAAUUCAAGCAACAUUUGUAAAGAGACACACUUCCUUAUUUUGGUAAUUCAAGCGCUAUCGUAAGGAGACACACUUCCAAAGGAGACGCACUUUCUUGUUUUGGUAAUUCAAGCAACAUUGGAGACACACUUCCUUCCUUGGGCAAUUUAAGCAACAUUUGUAAGGAGAUGCACUUCCUUGUUUGGUUAAUUCAAGAAACAUUUGUGAGAAGACGCACUUCCUUGUUUGAGUAAUUCAAGUGGCAUUGGUAAAGAGACGCACUUCCUUGGUUUGGUAAUUCAAGUGGCAUUGGUAAGGAGAUGCACUUCCUUAUUUUGAUUAUUCAAGCAACAUUGGUAAGGAGAUACAUUUCUUUGAUCGGGUAAUUCGAACUUUGCUUUUGCGUAAUGCACUUCCUAGCAGUCCCCUUGAUUUCUAGAAAAUGAACUUUCUAGUCAAUUUAUUGCACUUAAUCCUUUGGAGAUGCACUUUUUUGCUAGUUUUCAUUUGUCAGGUGGCACACUUUUUAACUUAAACUUGUAUCUCUAGAAGACGCACUUUCUAGUUAGAAUCCCUCACUUUAAUUCUUAGGAGACGCACUUCCUAGUCUUGGUUAUUCAAUUUUACUCUCAAGCGAUGCAUUUCUUGGUCAGAGUCUUGAUUCAUCAUUGCAACAUGCAAGUAGGUAUGAUGUGACUUUUCCAAAAGUCUUCUAAUGAUAAACUUGAAAAAAAAAAUUUAAUUUCUGUUUUUGAAACUUUAGUUUUCUGGCAAACGGAAUUUCUCUUUAUAAUAAUAUUUGUUUGGGAUAAUUUUCUUUUUAGUUUUGAUGUGAUUUCAGGAGCCUGCCCGAAGCACAGAGCGAAUAAAUGAAAAAUUAAGCAACAAGGUGAAGAAAUUGAAAGUUAAACAGAUUGAAAAAUAGCAAGUCAGGAGCCCGCCUGUAGAACAGGGUGAAGAAGUUGAAAGCAUGGCAACAAUUUGAUGAAAUAGCAAGUCAGGAACCCGCCUGAAGAAUAGGGUGAUGAAACUCAAGUCAAGAGUCCAAAAGAAGCUGUAUACAUAGGAUUUUUGUAAUUUCAUUUAUGCUUUAACUUGUAAUUUUCAUUUUUAAUGUAAUGACAGAGCCGUGGACCAGAACCUCGAUGGAACCUCACUCGACUCUCCAACUUGGUAUAGUCCAUCUCUUUCCAAUCUUAUGAAAUACCCGUGACUUGAUUCUCUCA